GGUUAAGCGACUAAGCGUACACGGUGGAUGCCCUGGCAGUCAGAGGCGAUGAAGGACGUGCUAAUCUGCGAAAAGCGUCGGUAAGGUGAUAUGAACCGUUAUAACCGGCGAUGUCCGAAUGGGGAAACCCAGUGCAAUUCGUUGCACUAUCGUUAACUGAAUACAUAGGUUAACGAGGCGAACCGGGGGAACUGAAACAUCUAAGUACCCCGAGGAAAAGAAAUCAACCGAGAUUCCCCCAGUAGCGGCGAGCGAACGGGGAGCAGCCCAGAGUCUGAAUCAGCUUGUGUGUUAGUGGAACGGUCUGGAAAGUCCGACGGUACAGGGUGAUAGUCCCGUACACCAAAAUGCACAGGUUGUGAACUCGAAGAGUAGGGCGGGACACGUGGUAUCCUGUCUGAAUAUGGGGGGACCAUCCUCCAAGGCUAAAUACUCCUGACUGACCGAUAGUGAACCAGUACCGUGAGGGAAAGGCGAAAAGAACCCCGGCGAGGGGAGUGAAAAAGAACCUGAAACCGUGUACGUACAAGCAGUGGGAGCACCUUCGGGUGUGACUGCGUACCUUUUGUAUAAUGGGUCAGCGACUUAUAUUCUGUAGCAAGGUUAACCGUAUAGGGGAGCCGCAGGGAAACCGAGUCUUAACUGGGCGUUAAGUUGCAGGGUAUAGACCCGAAACCCGGUGAUCUAGCCAUGGGCAGGUUGAAGGUUGGGUAACACUAACUGGAGGACCGAACCGACUAAUGUUGAAAAAUUAGCGGAUGACUUGUGGCUGGGGGUGAAAGGCCAAUCAAACCGGGAGAUAGCUGGUUCUCCCCGAAAGCUAUUUAGGUAGCGCCUCGUGAACUCAUCUUCGGGGGUAGAGCACUGUUUCGGCUAGGGGGUCAUCCCGACUUACCAACCCGAUGCAAACUACGAAUACCGAAGAAUGUUAUCACGGGAGACACACGGCGGGUGCUAACGUCCGUCGUGAAGAGGGAAACAACCCAGACCGCCAGCUAAGGUCCCAAAGUCAUGGUUAAGUGGGAAACGAUGUGGGAAGGCACAGACAGCCAGGAUGUUGGCUUAGAAGCAGCCAUCAUUUAAAGAAAGCGUAAUAGCUCACUGGUCGAGUCGGCCUGCGCGGAAGAUGUAACGGGGCUAAACCAUGCACCGAAGCUGCGGCAGCGACACUAUGUGUUGUUGGGUAGGGGAGCGUUCUGUAAGCCUGCGAAGGUGUGCUGUGAGGCAUGCUGGAGGUAUCAGAAGUGCGAAUGCUGACAUAAGUAACGAUAAAGCGGGUGAAAAGCCCGCUCGCCGGAAGACCAAGGGUUCCUGUCCAACGUUAAUCGGGGCAGGGUGAGUCGACCCCUAAGGCGAGGCCGAAAGGCGUAGUCGAUGGGAAACAGGUUAAUAUUCCUGUACUUGGUGUUACUGCGAAGGGGGACGGAGAAGGCUAUGUUAGCCGGGCGACGGUUGUCCCGGUUUAAGCAUGUAGGCUGGUUAUCCAGGCAAAUCCGGAUAAUCAAGGCUGAGGUGUGAUGACGAGGCACUACGGUGCUGAAGUAACAAAUGCCCUGCUUCCAGGAAAAGCCUCUAAGCAUCAGGUAACAUCAAAUCGUACCCCAAACCGACACAGGUGGUCAGGUAGAGAAUACCAAGGCGCUUGAGAGAACUCGGGUGAAGGAACUAGGCAAAAUGGUGCCGUAACUUCGGGAGAAGCACGCUGGUGUGUAGGUGAAGUCCCUGCGGAUGGAGCUGAGACCAGUCGAAGAUACCAGCUGGCUGCAACUGUUUAUUAAAAACACAGCACUGUGCAAACACGAAAGUGGACGUAUACGGUGUGACGCCUGCCCGGUGCCGGAAGGUUAAUUGAUGGGGUUAUCCGUAAGGAGAAGCUCUUGAUCGAAGCCCCGGUAAACGGCGGCCGUAACUAUAACGGUCCUAAGGUAGCGAAAUUCCUUGUCGGGUAAGUUCCGACCUGCACGAAUGGCGUAAUGAUGGCCAGGCUGUCUCCACCCGAGACUCAGUGAAAUUGAACUCGCUGUGAAGAUGCAGUGUACCCGCGGCAAGACGGAAAGACCCCGUGAACCUUUACUAUAGCUUGACACUGAACAUUGAGCCUUGAUGUGUAGGAUAGGUGGGAGGCUUUGAAGCGUGGACGCCAGUCUGCGUGGAGCCAACCUUGAAAUACCACCCUUUAAUGUUUGAUGUUCUAACGUUGGCCCCUGACCGGGGUUGCGGACAGUGUCUGGUGGGUAGUUUGACUGGGGCGGUCUCCUCCCAAAGCGUAACGGAGGAGCACGAAGGUUAGCUAAUCCUGGUCGGACAUCAGGAGGUUAGUGCAAUGGCAUAAGCUAGCUUGACUGCGAGCGUGACGGCGCGAGCAGGUGCGAAAGCAGGUCAUAGUGAUCCGGUGGUUCUGAAUGGAAGGGCCAUCGCUCAACGGAUAAAAGGUACUCCGGGGAUAACAGGCUGAUACCGCCCAAGAGUUCAUAUCGACGGCGGUGUUUGGCACCUCGAUGUCGGCUCAUCACAUCCUGGGGCUGAAGUAGGUCCCAAGGGUAUGGCUGUUCGCCAUUUAAAGUGGUACGCGAGCUGGGUUUAGAACGUCGUGAGACAGUUCGGUCCCUAUCUGCCGUGGGCGCUGGAGAAUUGAGGGGGCUGCUCCUAGUACGAGAGGACCGGAGUGGACGCAUCACUGGUGUUCGGGUUGUCAUGCCAAUGGCACUGCCCGGUAGCUAAAUGCGGAAGAGAUAAGUGCUGAAAGCAUCUAAGCACGAAACUUGCCCCGAGAUGAGUUCUCCCUGAGACUAUAAGUCUCCUGAAGGAACGUUAAAGACGAUGACGUUGAUAGGCCGGGUGUGUAAGCGCAGCGAUGCGUUGAGCUAACCGGUACUAAUGAACCGUGAGGCUUAACCUU
rnacentral:rRNA from 1 species